rnacentral:rRNA from 1 species
UACAGAGGGUGCAAGCGUUAUUCGGAAUUACUGGGCGUAAAGCGCGCGUAGGUGGUUCGUUAAGUUGGAUGUGAAAUCCCCGGGCUCAACCUGGGAACUGCAUCCAAAACUGGCGAGCUAGAGUAUGGUAGAGGGUGGUGGAAUUUCCUGUGUAGCGGUGAAAUGCGUAGAUAUAGGAAGGAACACCAGUGGCGAAGGCGACCACCUGGACUGAUACUGACACUGAGGUGCGAAAGCGUGGGGAGCAAACAGG